UACAGAGGGUGCAAGCGUUAAUCGGAAUUACUGGGCGUAAAGCGUGCGUAGUCGGUUAUCUAAGUCGGGUGUGAAAUCCCCGGGCUCAACCUGGGAAUUGCAUUCGAUACUGGAUAGCUAGAGUUCGGCAGAGGGAAGCGGAAUUUCGGGUGUAGCGGUGAAAUGCGUAGAGAUGUGGAGGAACACCGAUGGCGAAGGCAGCCUCCUGGGCUAGUACUGACGCUCAUGCACGAAAGCGUGGGGAGCAAACAGG
rnacentral:rRNA from 1 species